CUGGAAAUAAACUAUAGGUCAUUCUAUACCCAAUCACGCAAGAAACAUUACAUCAAAAAGAAAAAAAACCUUAAGCUUCAGAACAGCAAAUGGGCUAAGACGGUCAAGAGUGUAAGUAAGGGCUUGUUCUAAUAGCUCAAUUCCUGAGCCAAAAUUAGUCUAUGCCUUUCAAGGGCAGAGCACAGUCCCGAACCAAGAGGAAACAGAGCCGAUCUUGGACUCCAGAAUGGGGGGCAAUGAGUCAGAUCUUUCACCAGGAUUGGGAAUGUCAUCAGGAGGCACAUCUCCAGAAUGACAUAACCCGAGGAGGAGCCAGCAGCAGUGCCAAGGUUUAUUUAGUUUUAUUUUG